GCUUGGAGUGGGCUAAAGGGGCGCGCCCGGCAGCCUGCCCGACCUCACGCCUUUGGCAGCUGCGACGGUGGCUGGCGGGGGGACCCCACCUUCCGGACGCCCUCCAGGAUCCUCGGGGGAGGGGGAGAGCCUCCCAAACCAUGAGGAUGACAGGCAUGCGCCAUGGCGCCCGGCUAAGAAAUCAAUCUUAACAGGAAACAUCACGCCUGUCAAUGGGAACCCAGUGCGCAGGACCCUACACAGAAGGCUACAUCCAUGGGGUCUCAACGGUUCUCGGCCAGGCAAUGGCGAGGCAGUGUGAAGCGCCAGGAGGGGAGACGACUAAGAAGCCGAGAACUUCCUGGAGCAGCCCUUGUGCUGUCUCCCCUGCCAGCAUCAUCAGGUCUGGGGAAGGGGACAGGCCACUCACCCCAGCUCCUCCAAGCUUGCAGCAGUUCUGAGUGCUUCAGAGAGGUGGCAGCAGCCGACGUCACCAAUGCUGUUCCCGCUCAGUCUGGAGGAGCAGGGGACAGGUCAAGAGACCUUAGAAAAGAGCCUAAAGGCCUUCGCAGGGGCUGCGCCCAGGACUCUACAGUUUGCAAAACCUGUAUACACCCAGGGGCUCGUGGACCACUCACAAAACUCCUGGGGAGGGUGGCGACUGGAAUGGGCAUGAAUGUCCCCAACAUCCAGGUGAGAACUGAGGCCUAGAGGUGAGCCAGACUGGCCAGGCUCCAGUGGCUAGCAGGCAGGGUGGACCGUGUUAGCUUUGCCGGGUCAGGGGCUCUGGGCCGGCCUGGCUGAAGCCAGCUCCAUGUGGUUCUAGAGUCCAGGCCCCCGGCUCCAGGGGACAGUGCUCCCCUCCUGCCAGUGGCAGCCUUCCCCACUGGGGCCUUACCCUCUCUGCAGCCUGACCCCCUGCCUCUGUGCAUGGGGAGAACACACCUAAAGGAAGGGCCCGGGCAACCGUCUCACCCCCUGCGAAGGAUCUGCCUAGAGGUGGUUUUCUUGUCUUUUGCAAAUUAAAAUUUACUGAAGUGUC